GGAUUGGUGGACAAGCCACAUGCUAGCUUCCUAAGGAAGAUUUGAGAUUAAAGUGUAUUGGAUAAGUUUUAUACUUUUGAUGGCAUAGUGAGCAAGUAUGAGUGUAGAGAUUGAACAAAACAAUUCCUCUCUCUCCCUCCCAAAUUUUCAUCCCCCACCCUCUCUCUCUCUACUCUCUAUCUUUUCUCUUCAAUUCACCAUGAAAUAACACUCUAAAGCUUCUAAACACCUAGAUCCACCAUCACAAAUCAAAGAACUAGCUCUAAACCUUUUAAAUCUAAGAUCAAGAGCAAGAUAUUUGAGCAUCAAGAGCAAGAGCCAAGGCACGAGCGACGGAAGGAAGUGAGGUAAAGCAAGAGCUUAAUAAAGAAAGAGUAAGCAGGAGUCCAGAUGGUGACCGUGAGCCGUCUAUCGGGUCGGCCGAUCACGGUGCUUGAGAAGGUGGCCUACUUCUCAGUACCUUUGAUGAUGAGUAGUGGAUGUGGUAUGGCUUUGAUGGAGAUGGAAGGGUGCUGAGCUGGCUUGUUGUGAAGAAGGGAGAGUUGAACUCUAGGUUACAUGUCUUCAUUUGUAAUCAUUACAAAUUCCGCUGCGAUGCUUUGAUAACCUUAUUUAUUUCAACAUUGUUCUAAACUUGAGAUAUUAUUUAAGACUUGUAUUUUCCCAUGUGACUUUAGACAACUUAUUGAAUUUAAUUGAGAGUUGUCUAACUAAUAAACUUGAUAUUAAUGUGUA